UGGUGAAGCAAAAAAGAUCAUGUAUUGCAAGGAGUUGCUGUACACUGCAAGGGCACUGAUCACUUCCAGCCCAGUAUCCGGGAUGCAGCAAUGCAUGCUGGGGCACAACUUCAAAAGCACGAGGCAGUCAGCCUUCUAAGUAAUUCAGCCAAGAUGGUGAUCGUUCAUAUACAAGUUGGCAAAAAUAAGAAGCUUCUUUUUUUAAAUGGUUGCC